UGGCGGACGGGUGAGUAACGCGUGGGUAACCUGCCUUAUACAGGGGGAUAACAGUCAGAAAUGGCUGCUAAUACCGCAUAAGCGCACAGAGCUGCAUGGCUCGGUGUGAAAAACUCCGGUGGUAUAAGAUGGACCCGCGUUGGAUUAGCUUGUUGGUGGGGUAACGGCCCACCAAGGCGACGAUCCAUAGCCGGCCUGAGAGGGUGAACGGCCACAUUGGGACUGAGACACGGCCCAGACUCCUACGGGAGGCAGCAUG
rnacentral:rRNA from 1 species